rnacentral:rRNA from 1 species
AUUCCAGCUCCAAUAGCGUAUAUUAAAGUUGUUGCAGUUAAAAAGCUCGUAGUUGGAUCUCGGGCGCAGGCUGGCGGUCCACCUCGCGGUGGCUACUGCCUGUCCUGCCCUACCUGCCGGUUUUCCCCUGGUGCUCUUCACUGAGUGCCUCGGGUGGCCGGAACGUUUACUUUGAAAAAAUUAGAGUGUUCAAAGCAGGCAUUUCGCCUGAAUAAUGGUGCAUGGAAUAAUGGAAUAGGACCUCGGUUCUAUUUUGUUGGUUUUCGGAACUUGAGGUAAUGAUUAAGAGGGACAGACGGGGGCAUUCGUAUUGCGGUGUUAGAGGUGAAAUUCUUGGAUCGCCGCAAGACGAACUACUGCGAAAGCAUUUGCCAAGCAUGUUUUCAUCA